rnacentral:lncRNA from 1 species
ACUAGCACAGUGCCUGAUAAAUACUUGAAGGAAUAAUGAGCUGGCAGAACCCUUAAUGAAUCACAGAGACUGAAUUAACAAGCCUUACUGCCCUCCCUAACUUGGGACAUCUUGCUGAGAUAAUAUUCUUUUCAUCAAGCCAACAUAAGUCUUCUGUGACUUGCUGCCCCAAACAUGUUAAUGUAUGAACACCACAGCCACAAUUCUCUCUUCUUUGAAAAGCCCAGGGAAUCACUUGACCGUCACAAAGUCAGCGCCCAUUUUACAGAUGAGGACACUGAGUCUCAAGAGUUUAGGAACUACCUACCAUUUCCCAGAAGCCUUGGCUCAGCCAGGGAUGGGUAUCCCAUCACCCCAGGCAUGACAAUGUGACCCACGUCCAUCCAAACAGAAUGGCUCUUGGGACCUCCAUUAAGAAUGCCGGGGGGCUUCUCUGGUGGCUCAGUGGUAAAGAAUCCGCCUGCCAAUGCCAGAGACACGGGUUUCAUUCCUGUCUGGGAAGACCCCACAUGCCGCAGAGCAACUAAGCCCGUGCGCCACAGCUACUGCGCUCUAGGGCCCACGUGCCGCAACCACUAAAGCCCAAGGGCUAAAGCCCGUGCUCCGCAACCAGAGUAGCCCCCACUAACCACAACCUGAGAAAAGCCUGUGCGGCAACAAAGACCCAGCAGAGCCGAAGAUAAACAAAUAAAAUUAUUAAAAAAAGAAAAAAGAAUGCUGGAAAGAGGAAGCAGGUAGCCUUGGGAGAAGCUGGGUCAUCCGUGGACUGCAAGGGCAGCCCAUCAGCCCUUGGAAGCCAAUGCAAAGGGAGACGGAAAGAACCGGUCUGUGGGAAGGUUGGCGCCCCCCACCCAGCCACCCUCAGUGGUAAUACGAGUCUCCCCUUUAUUCUCCACUUCAUUGCGAUAGCUGAAGAGACUCCCAUCCUUCAAGUGAUUGACAUCCUUCUAACAGACAGGGAACAGAGAAGUGACCUAUUCCCACUGUUUGGGCAGAGGGUGCAAAGCCGGGUCUUCAGACCCCACGCCCUGUGUGUCUCCCACUGCAGCUGUCCUUGGCCAGGUCCUCCAGAGUCCAAAGCU